AAUCAGGGAAGCUCAGCUAUACUGCUUUUAGCAAAUUUCAUCCUUGCUCUUACAUUAGAAGCAGAGUGAAGUAAAAAUUAGAGGGGAGACAAGUAGACAUAAGGCUCAUUGGCUUCCACAAAGCUCCACUACAUAUGUGUAAUAGACCCGCUCCUUACUUUAACAGAUAAUAGGAAGAAGUCAAACUAUUUUGCAGUCUAAGGGGAACAACAAGGGGGUCUUCCUUUGCUUUUCAGUGGUGAAGAUAGCAAGGUGUGUUUUAUUUCAGUACUGGCAAUGGGUCAUCAGCUGACCUAGCAGCAGACUUAGGUUUUGGGGAAGAGGGCAGGCCAUGUGAAUACAGCGCCCUGUCCUCUAACUUCCACUGCUGUUCUCUCCCCAGCACCCAACACCCACGGUGACUGUCAUCCUUUGCCUAAUGGUAGGACCAGGCAUGCCUGAUAGGAUAAAAUGCACAUUUUACCACAUCUACUUUAACCGAACACAGGAAAGACAACACAGCAGUGGAUUCUGCUGCAUUGAUGAUCUUCUAUUUGGUUUUACAUAUAUAUGAUAAAAGAAACAUGGCAACGCCAAAAGACAAAAGAAAAAGAGAAAAAAUAAAAAGGGGGAAAAUGUAAAAAUAAAAUAAAAUCAAAAAAUAAAGUUCCCUACUUCUGGUCUGUAGGAUUCAGGAAGAAAGGCAAGUGGGGUUUAUUUAUCUGUGGAAUAAUGUCCAGGGUGGGAGAAAGAGUUCUUGUCUGUUUGAGGCAAGUGUGAAUGUAGCAAUACAGUAGAGUCUCACUUAUCCAACAUAAACAGGCCGGCAGAAGCUUGGAUAAGCGAAUAUCUUGGAUAAUAAGGAGGGAUUAAGGAAAAGCCUAUUAAAAAUCAAUUUAGGUUAUGAUUUUACAAAUUAAUUACCAAAACAUCAUGUUAUACAACAAAUUUGACAGAAAAAAGUAGUUCAAUACGCAGUAAUGCUAUGUAGUAAUUACUGUAUUUACGAAUUUAGCACCAAAAUAUCACGAUAUAUUGAAAACAUUAACUACAAAAAUGUGUUGGAUAAUCCAGAAUGUUGGAUAAGUGAGACUCUGCUAUACUUUUAUUUUUGAGCUAUUGGUUUUUUUGGGGGGUGGCAAAAUUCGGGGGGGGGGGAUGGCAAAAUUCGGGAG
rnacentral:lncRNA from 11 species